rnacentral:rRNA from 1 species
AUUGAACGCUGGCGGAAUGCUUUACACAUGCAAGUCGAACGGCAGCACGGGGGCAGCCCGGGUGGCGGGUGGCGAAGGGGGGGGAAAUACACGGGAACUUGCCCGGCCGGGGGGGAUAAGGUGCGGAAGGUACCGCUAUUACCCCAAAGGACCGGGGGAUGAAACGGGGGGACUUUCGGGCCCCGCGGGUUGGGAGGGGCCGAUGUCAGAUUAGGUAGUUGGUGGGGUAAAGGCCUACCAAGCCGACGAUCUGUAGCUGGUCUGAGAGGACGACCAGCCACACUGGGACUGAGACACGGCCCAGACUCCUACGGGAGGCAGCAGUGGGGAAUUUUGGACAAUGGGCGCAAGCCUGAUCCAGCCAUUCCGCGUGCAGGACGAAGGCCUUCGGGUUGUAAACUGCUUUUGUACGGAACGAAAAGGCUCUGGCUAAUACCUGGGGCUCAUGACGGUACCGUAAGAAUAAGCACCGGCUAACUACGUG